rnacentral:rRNA from 1 species
AUACGGAGGGUGCAAGCGUUACUCGGAAUCACUGGGCGUAAAGCGCGCGCAGGCGGGCUGAUAAGUUGGAUGUGAAAGCCUACGGCUCAACCGUAGAACUGCAUCCAAAACUGUCAGUCUAGAGUCCGGGAGGGGAAGAUGGAAUUAGUUGUGUAGGGGUAAAAUCCGUAGAGAUAACUAGGAAUACCAAAAGCGAAGGCGAUCUUCUGGAACAGUACUGACGCUGAGGCGCGAAAGCGUGGGGAGCAAACAGGAUUAGAAACCCUAGUAGUCC